rnacentral:rRNA from 1 species
UACGUAGGGGCGAGGCGUUGUCCGGAAUCAUUGGGCGUAAAGCGCGUGUAGGCGGCCCGGUAAGUCCGCUGUGAAAGUCCAGGGCUCAACCCUGGGAUGCCGGUGGAUACUGUCGGGCUCGAGUCCGGAAGAGGCGAGUGGAAUCCUGGUGUAGCGGUGAAAUGCGCAGAUAUCAGGAGGAACACCAAUGGCGAAGGCAGCUCGCUGGGACGUGACUGACGCUGAGACGCGAAAGCGUGGGGAGCAAACAGG